rnacentral:rRNA from 1 species
UACGUAGGGUGCAAGCGUUAUCCGGAAUUAUUGGGCGUAAAGAGCUCGUAGGCGGCUUGUCGCGUCUGCUGUGAAAACUGGAGGCUCAACCUCCAGCCUGCAGUGGGUACGGGCAAACUAGAGUGCGGUAGGGGAGAUUGGAAUUCCUGGUGUAGCGGUGAAAUGCGCAGAUAUCAGGAGGAACACCAGUGGCGAAGGCGCCGCUCUGGGCCGUGACUGACGCUGAGGAGCGAAAGCGUGGGUAGCAAACAGG